AGCAGCCGCGGUAAUUCCAGCUCCAAUAGCGUAUAUUAAAGUUGUUGCAGUUAAAAAGCUCGUAGUUGAAUUUCGGGAUCAAGGGAUCGGUCAUGCCUUGGUAUGUACUGGUCUUAUUGGUUCUCACCUUCUAAAGAACCAUGAUGUCAUUCAUUUGAUGUUAUGGGGAAUUAGGACUGUUACCUUGAAAAAAUUAGAGUGUUUAGAGCAAGCUUACGCUUGAAUACAUUAGCAUGGAAUAAUGAAAUAGGACAUCAGAUUCUAUUUUGUUGGUUUCUAGGAUCGAUGUAAUGAUUAAUAGGGAUAGUUGGGGGCAUUAGUAUUCAAUUGUCAGAGGUGAAAUUCUUGGAUUUAUUGAAGACUAACUACUGCGAAAGCAUUUGCCAAGGAUGUUUUCAUUAAUCAAGAACGAAAGUUAGGGGAUCGAAGACGAUCAGAUACCGUCGUAGUCUUAACCAUAAACUAUGCCGACUAGGGAUCGGAUGAUGUUAAUUUUUUAAUGACUCA
rnacentral:rRNA from 1 species